rnacentral:rRNA from 1 species
CCUACGGGUGGCAGCAGUGAGGAAUAUUGGUCAAUGGACGAGAGUCUGAACCAGCCAAGUAGCGUGAAGGAUGACUGCCCUAUGGGUUGUAAACUUCUUUUAUAAAGGAAUAAAACGAGGCACGUGUGCCCUUUUGCAUGUACUUUAUGAAUAAGGAUCGGCUAACUCCGUGCCAGCAGCCGCGGUAAUACGGAGGAUCCGAGCGUUAUCCGGAUUUAUUGGGGUUAAAGGGAGCGUAGAUGGGUUUUUAAGUCAGUUGUGAAAGUUUGCGGCUCAACCGUAAAAAUGGAAUUGAUAAUGGCAGUACUUGGGACAGUUGAGGUAGGCGGAAUUCGUGGUGUAGCGGUGAAAUGCUUAGAUAUCACGAAGAACCCCGAUUGCGAAGGCAGCUUACUAAACUGUGACUGACAUUGAUGCUCGAAAGUGUGGGUAUCAAACAGGAUUAGAUACCCUUGUAGUC